rnacentral:snoRNA from 1 species
AUGCGUGAUCUCAACACGCGUACUGCCUCCUACGGCGUACGUGUCUGUAAUGCACGCUAGAACGAAUGCGCCGGAUUUCGCUAGCACCGCGUCCAGUGACCGGAGUUUGAUAGUAGACCGGGGCACAUUA